GGGGUUGUGGCUCAGCGGUAGAGUGCUUGCCUUGCGCGUGUGAGACCCUGGGUUCAAUCCUCAGCACCA
rnacentral:tRNA from 1 species